rnacentral:lncRNA from 1 species
GGAGAUUCUGGCCAAGCUGGAGAAGCUGCGGAAAGUAACAGGCAACGAGAUGCUGGGCCUCGAGGAGGGGGACCUUGAAGACGACUUCGACCCUGCCCAGCACGACCAGCUCAUGCAGACGACUGGAACUGGGACACGUGGGACGGGCCUGAGCAGGAGGGAGACUGGAGCCAGCAGGAGCUGCACUGUGAGGACCCCAACUUCAACAUGGACGCCGACUACGACCCCAGCCAGCCGAGGAAGAAAAAGCGCGAGGCCCCCUUGACGGGCAAGAAGAAGCGCAAGUCGCCCUUCGCCGCGGCCGUGGGGCAGGAGAAGCCCGUGUUUGAACCCGGUGAGGCCCAGGUGGGCAGGCCGUGGGUAGGCAGGGGGCACCGCGGGGCCUGGCAUAGCCCAGCAGCCUGGCUCUGUCUCGAGCAGGGGACAAGACGUUCGAGGAGUACCUGGAUGAGUAUUACCGGCUGGACUACGAGGACAUCAUCGACGACCUGCCCUGUCGCUUCAAGUACCGCACAGUGGUGCCCUGUGACUUUGGCCUCAGCACUGAGGAGAUCCUCGCUGCUGACGAUAAGGAGCUGAACCGGUGGUGCUCCCUAAAGAAGACCUGCAUGUACAGGUCAGAGCAGGAGGAGCUGCGGGACAAGCGGGCGUACAGCCAGAAGGCCCAGAAC